rnacentral:rRNA from 1 species
AACGAACGCUGGCGGCAGGCCUAACACAUGCAAGUCGAGCGAACUCUUCGGAGUUAGCGGCGGACGGGUGAGUAACGCGUGGGAAUAUGCCCAAAGGUACGGAACAACAGUUGGAAACGACUGCUAAUACCGUAUGUGCCCUACGGGGGAAAGAUUUAUCGCCUUUGGAUUAGCCCGCGUUGGAUUAGGUAGUUGGUGGGGUAACGGCCCACCAAGCCGACGAUCCAUAGCUGGUUUGAGAGGAUGACCAGCCACACUGGGACUGAGACACGGCCCAGACUCCUACGGGAGGCAGCAGUGGGGAAUCAUAGACAAUGGGGGCAACCCUGAUCUUGCCAUGCCGCGUGAGCGAUGAAGGCCUUAGGGUUGUAAAGCUCUUUCACCGGUGAAGAUAAUGACGGUAGCCGGAGAAGAAGCCCCGGCUAACUCCGUGCCAGCCGCCGCGGUAAU